rnacentral:lncRNA from 1 species
UCAUCUUGGACAUGAAUAGUAGGAUUAUUAUCUAACUUGUAUAUAAGAUAAGAAAAAGCCAAUUUACUGUAGCAACCCGUCUUGGACUUGGAGGCCUGGGAACGAAAGCACAUUCACCUGAGUGAGAAUCACUUCACUUUGAGAGAAUUGAAGAUUGCUCCCCUUAAUUUCCUUGAGACCAUCGCUGAAGAAGUCGUCUGAAGUUGUUACAUGAGCAGGGUUUUUGCAGGGAAAGCCAUUUACGUGCAAAGGAGAUUUCAGAUCAGCAAUAAUGCAGAAAUCCUGCAAUGGACCAGGCUCAGCACAAUGGGAAGGCAAUGGCAUGGUAGCUGGCUGGCUAGCAGAACUGAUGACAAAACUGCACAGGACAAAAUCAGAUGAAUAUUAACAUCGCAGGAAGAAGCCAUGCAUAUGUGCUCAAAUUUGCUAAGGAAGCCACCGAAUGAUAUAUAGCUUCGUAGUUUGCCAGACAAAUUAGACUUAAAGUUGUGUGCUUAUCGAGCAGUCUGAUGUUUCGCUUGCCUGUGCAUGGGGAAGGCACGACUAGUUCCUUGUUGACGGCAGUAUUAGUGAUUAAUUUGCUGCCAACCUACUCCGUAUGAUACAAAAUGACAAUGCUUAAAAUGAAGGAAGCUUUUAGAAAGCUAUGUAGGGAAGGAAGUUAGAAAAGGUAUAAAAUGAAGAUAUAUUUCAGAGAUUAUUAGUUCAAAUUUCCUAACAGUACUGUGGCAAAUCGUACACCUAAUAUCCCUUAUUUUGAAUAGGUCUAUGACAUUCAGUACAAUUUUGAGUUAUAUCAUCGUAGAAGGUAUACACCACAUCCUGUGCCGCCACCAUAAAUCUUCCUUCCUCUUGGUGUAAAAAUUAUUUAAAGGGAAACCACCACCAGCAACACCCCCCCCCCUCCCCCCAACAGUACUGUGGCAAAUCGUACACCUAAUAUCCCUUAUUUUGAAUAGGUCUAUGACAUUCAGUACAAUUUUGAGUUAUAUCAUCGUAGAAGGUAUACACCACAUCCUGUGCCGCCACCAUAAAUCUUCCUUCCUCUUGGUGUAAAAAUUAUUUAAAGGGAAACCACCACCAGCAACACAGCCCCCCCCCUCCCCCCAACAAAUAUUCAGGGGCCUAAACAUGCUAGAGUACAUGUGCAUAAUAAACUUGAGACCUAUCUAAUUCUAUAAUCAUUUCUUAUCACAUGCACAAUCACAAACAGGAUAUAUAUACGUGUUGACCUAACUUUUGAUGUCCCAUAAUUCCCUCAAGAACAGUUGAUCAGAGAAAACAGGAUAACUUUCACAUGAUUACCUCAUUAUCAGGCUCUGGAUGAUAUGUGAUUUCUUCUGAGAAUCCAAUGUAGGAUCACGGGACACUCUUCUUAUUGCAGUUUCCAGCUCCUUUUGAUUUAAUUCCAGUGGAUGCUCAUCAUGGCACGCCUGAAUGUUUUGUCCAGCUUUAUCAGCUUGAUCAUCAACAAUUUGCUGAUCAGUUUUCUUAUCAAGUUCUUCACCACAGUUGACUAGAUCUUCAUAUUUAUCAUUGUUUUGACCGCCUUUGAAAUCUUUUGAAUAUGGACAUAUAUACCCAGAAUGCUCAGCAUUGUUAUCAGAAACUUCUUUUCCUGAAAGUUUGCUUUCUCUGCAUGUUU